rnacentral:piRNA from 1 species
UGUGUAGCCCUGGCUGGUAUAGGACUGCUU